rnacentral:misc_RNA from 1 species
AAAACCUACAUUUCCGAGUAUGGAGAAGCGGCAACGGUUACUCAGCUCUUUGGUUGUGGUUUAUAUUAUCAAGUUUUCUUGUCUCAUCGGUGCUUUAUUUACGGAAUAUUGGGUGGAUGCAGAUGGUUACCACUUCGGGGUAUUUAAGUAUUGUGUUGACAACACAAGCACUUGCCAAGAUGUUACGUCUCAGCUUCAAACAAUUGAAGACCCCUUGUUGGGCACCCGUUAUUUGUUGAUCAGCGCCUGUGCCUUGGUAUUCAUCUGUAUGAUGUUCUGUGUGACGUCAAUAAGUAAAUGCUGUGGGACUGAUAGAAAGACAAAGAUAUUAGCAAGAAUCAAUGUCACAGGAACGUUUCUUCAGUUUAUAUUAGAGACUUCGACAGUGAUUACAUUUGCCCAUGGAGUGACUCAUCUACCGCGUGGUCCACAGAUAGGCUGGUCCUUCUACAUAACCAUCUGUAUGGCGGUUUUCACGCUGAUGCUCUUCUUUAUUCUUCUGCUCACCACCUUUUGUUGUAACAAAAGAUGCUAUUUGGAUAGGGCAUCAAAUUUUUCUUCAAAGCUUACUUUCAUAACACCCCCACAGAAUGUUUCUGUUGAUGUUGGUAAAGCGGUGUCUGUUUUUGCUAAUGUAAGAAACGCAAGCAAUGUUUAUUGGUGCAAAGGAAAGGACCAGGUAAUCCGGAUAUCCUCGACAUUCCGCCAACAGUUUGACGAGUCCAACCAAAAAGCUGAGCUCACAUUGAGUAAUGCUAGACUUCAAGACGACGGUGAAUAUACUUGUGUAGCAGAGAAGUAUGGAAGAAAUAAAAAGGAAAUCAAAGAAUCAUUCUUCAUUUAUGUGCAUCACGUGAAACCUGUGUUUACAAUAAAACCUAAUGAUGUUACCGUGCAUUCCGGAGACGAAUUAUAUACAGAGGCAGUCGUCAAUAAUGCGGAAGUAGUGUCGUGGCUUCACCAAGGCAAGAUUUUAAGCAGCGCCAAAAACAAAAUAGCAAUCAAGUUUGUGAACGGAAAGGCUUCGUUAAGAAUUGAUGGUACAACAAAGAAAGAUGAAGGAGACUAUACCUGUUUGGCUAAAUCGGGAACUGACCCUCAUAAAUUAAAAGAAGAAUCUGUAGAUUUUCACGUCAGCGUCAGUGACGCUGAGCUGCCUUCAUUUGAAAACGUUCCGCAAACGGUAAAUAUUAAAAAUGGUACAGCCAUAGAGAUGGCGAUCAAAGUAAGAGGAUUUCCAAUGCCAAAACAAGUCGCAUGGUUCAAAGAUGGAGAACCUGUAGUGAGAAGUAGAAAAACUAUAAUGCAGUAUAUCGAUGGAGCCUCCAAAUUGGUAAUCUAUGAUACUGAUCUUGCUGAUGCUGGUUUGUAUGAAUGCUAUGCCGAAAACGAACAUGGAAACGACAAGUGCACAAUACCUGUUAAAAUUAAAAGGGUAAGAAACGUCUAGUUUGUUUUUCCUUGCAAGGAUAAAUGAGCCUCACUUUUUGGUAUAUUCCGCUACAAAACUUCAGAUUAAGAUUGACAUUAAUUGUUUUGUUUAGGUUGACCAUGAUACCAUUGAAUGUUCAAUAUGCAUGGAUCGGCCACCAUCAAAUGUUUUGCCGUGUGGUCAUGCCUUCUGCUUGGAGUGUAUUGGUAUGAUGAAUUUUAAGUGUGGCAUGUGCAGGUCUCCUUUUAGAGAUUACAAACCGUUGUAUUUAACUUAAUACGACAUAAAAAAUGCUGCACAAAAUUAGCAAAAUAUGUUGGAGGGAGAGAGACACACAAAUAGAAGUAGAGAGAGAGAGAGAGAGACAGAGAGAGAGAGAAAGAGAGAGAGAGAGAGAGAUGAAUUAUUAAAAAACAUAAAAAUUGUCUUUUUGUUUUCUUUAUGCAUAGUUACAAGGUUCUUUAAUAAAAUAUCAAGUGCAAAUUUUCAACAAUAUUUAAAAUUGGAUGACUUGUGUGUACAUUUAAUUUGUAUUGCCAGUUGUUUUGAUAAAAUAAAAAACC